rnacentral:rRNA from 1 species
AACAGCCAAGACCAUCAGCUAAGGUCCCAAAAUACAUGCUAAGUGGAAAAGGAUGUGGAGAUGGACAGACAACCAGGAGGGUGUCUCAGAAGCAGCCAUCCUUUAAAGAGUGCGUAACAGCUCACUAGUCGAAUGACUCUGCGCCGAUAAUUUACCGGGGCUAAGUAUAUUACCGAAGCUAUGGAUUUACGAAAGUAAGUGGUAGGGGAGCGUUCCAGACAGCGAGGAAGGAUGAUCGAAAGGACAUCUGGAGCGUGUGGAAGAGAGAAUGCCGGUGUGAGUAGCGGCACGUGGGUGAGAAUCCCACGCACCGAAGACCCAAGGUUUCCAGAGGAAGGUUCGUCCGCUCUGGGUAAGUCGGGACCUAAGGCGAGGCCGAGAGGCGUAGCCGAUGGACAACGGGUAGACAUUCCCGUACCUGGCUGUGGGUGAAGGAGUGACGGAGACGGCUAAGCCAACCAGCGGCUGGAAGAGCUGGAGCAAGCGAGGUAGGGGUCAUCCAGGCAAAUCCGGAUGGCAUAACCCGAAGGCGUGACGCGGAUGGAACAUUGCGAUAAGUACAGAAGAGGCCAAAGCCGGCUUCCAAGAAAAGCUUCUAGCAAAACUGCAGACAGCCCGUACCGAAAAUGGACACACAUGGGUGAGGAGAGAAUCCUAAGGUGAGCGAGAGAACUAUAGCUAAGGAACUCUGCAAAAUGACUCCGUAACUUAGGGAGAAGGAGUGCUCAGUGGAAGCUGAGCCGCAGUGAAACGGCCCAAGCGACUGUUUACCAAAAACACAGCUCUCUGCGAAGACGCAAGUCGAAGUAUAGGGGGUGACGCCUGCCCGGUGCUGGAAGGUUAAGGGGAGUGGUCAGCGAAAGCGAAGCCAUGAACCGAAGCCCCAGUAAACGGCGGCCGUAACUAUAACGGUCCUAAGGUAGCGAAAUUCCUUGUCAGGUAAGUUCUGACCCGCACGAAAGGCGUAACGAUUUGGGCGCUGUCUCGGCUGUAGACUCGGUGAAGUCUUAGUACCUGUGAAGAUGCAGGUUACCCGCGACUAGACGGGAAGACCCCAUGGAGCUUUACUGUAGCUUGAUAUUGGACUCUGAUGCAUGAUGUACAGGAUAGGUAGGAGGCAAGGAUACGGAUACGCCAGUAUUCGAGGAGCCGACGUUGGGAUACUACCCUUGAUGCAUUGGAGUUCUAACCGGACGACAUGGAGCUGUCGACGGGACAGUGUCAGGUGGGCAGUUUGACUGGGGCGGUCGCCUCCCAAAGAGUAACGGAGGCGCCCAAAGAUACCCUCAGCAUGGAUGGAAACCAUGCGCAGAGUGCAAAGGC